GGGCGUGUGGCCUAGCCAGGAUAGGGCGACAGUCUCCUAAACUGUAGAUCAGGGGUUCGAAUCCCCUCACGUCCG
rnacentral:tRNA from 1 species